ACGCCGGUGGCUUAAUGGCAUAGAGCAUUACCGCUGUCAGCAGGAGGUGCGGGUUCGGGUCCCGCCUGGCGCU
rnacentral:tRNA from 1 species